rnacentral:rRNA from 1 species
AUUGAACGCUGGCGGCAGGCCUAACACAUGCAAGUCGAACGGUAACAGGAAACAGCUUGCUGUUUCGCUGACGAGUGGCGGACGGGAGAGUAAUGUCUGGGAAACUUCCUGAUGGAGGGGGAUAACUACUGGAAACGGUAGCUAAUACCGCAUAACGUCGCAAGGCCAAAGAGGGGGGCCCUCGGGCCUCUUGCCAUCGCAUGUGCCCAGAUGGGAUUAGCUUGUUGGUGGGGUAACGGCUCACCAAGGCGACGAUCCCUAGCUGGUCUGAGAGGAUGAUCAGCCACACUGGAACUGAGACACGGUCCAGACUCCUACGGGAGGCAGCAGUGGGGAAUAUUGCACAAUGGGCGCAAGCCUGAUGCAGCCAUGCCGCGUGUAUGAAGAAGGUCUUCGGGUUGUAAAGUACUUUAAGCGGGGAGGAAGGGAGUAAAGUUAAUACCUUUCCUCAUUGACGUUACCCGCAGAAGAAGCACCGGCUAACUCCGUG